CCCACCCGCCGCCGCUGCCCAGGACCACGGCCACCAAGACUGCCGUCGCCACUGCAGCUCCGCCCAAGACAACGACCGUCGCUAGUGUGCAGUUGGCGCCCCUGCCCCUGCCAUUGCAGCUCCGCCCAAGACAACGGCCGCCGGCAACGACCCCGCCCAAGACAACGGCCGCCGCCCAAGACGACCGCUGCUGCCAUGCAGCUCCGCCCAAGACGACCACCGUUGCUGCCCAGUUGGCAUCCCCAGCCCCUGCCAUACAGCUCCUCGUACGUGGCCC
rnacentral:lncRNA from 1 species